rnacentral:rRNA from 1 species
AAAUUACCCAAUCUUGACUCAGGGAGGUAGUGACAAGAAAUAACAACACUGGAAAUUGUAUUUCUAGUGAUUGGAAUGAUGGGAAUCCAAACCCCUUUCAGAGUAACAAUUGGAGGGCAAGUCUGGUGCCAGCAGCCGCGGUAAUCCAGCUCCAAUA